rnacentral:rRNA from 1 species
UACGUAGGGUGCAAGCGUUAAUCGGAAUUACUGGGCGUAAAGCGUGCGCAGGCGGUUGUGUAAGUCUGUCGUGAAAUCCCCGGGCUCAACCUGGGAAUUGCGAUGGAGACUGCACGGCUAGAGUGUGUCAGAGGGGGGUAGAAUUCCACGUGUAGCAGUGAAAUGCGUAGAUAUCGGAAGGAACACCUGUGGCGAAAGCGGCUCACUGGACCAUUACUGACGCUGAGGCACGAAAGCUAGGGGAGCAAACAGG